UACGGGGGGGGCAAGCGUUGUUCGGAAUUACUGGGCGUAAAGGCUCGUAGGCGGCCAACUAAGUCAGACGUGAAAUCCCUCGGCUUAACCGGGGAACUGCGUCUGAUACUGGAUGGCUUGAGUUUGGGAGAGGGAUGCGGAAUUCCAGGUGUAGCGGUGAAAUGCGUAGAUAUCUGGAGGAACACCGGUGGCGAAGGCGGCACCCUGGACCAUUACUGACGCUGAGGCGCGAAAGCGUGGGGAGCAAACAGG
rnacentral:rRNA from 1 species